rnacentral:rRNA from 1 species
AGAGUUUGAUCCUGGCUCAGGAUGAACGCUGGCGGCGUGCCUAAUACAUGCAAGUCGAGCGAACAGAUAAGGAGCUUGCUCCUUUGACGUUAGCGGCGGACGGGUGAGUAACACGUGGGUAACCUACCUAUAAGACUGGGAUAACUUCGGGAAACCGGAGCUAAUACCGGAUAACAUUUGGAACCGCAUGGUUCUAAAGUGAAAGAUGGUUUUGCUAUCACUUAUAGAUGGACCCGCGCCGUAUUAGCUAGUUGGUAAGGUAACGGCUUACCAAGGCGACGAUACGUAGCCGACCUGAGAGGGUGAUCGGCCACACUGGAACUGAGACACGGUCCAGACUCCUACGGGAGGCAGCAGUAGGGAAUCUUCCGCAAUGGGCGAAAGCCUGACGGAGCAACGCCGCGUGAGUGAUGAAGGGUUUCGGCUCGUAAAACUCUGUUAUUAGGGAAGAACAAACGUGUAAGUAACUGUGCACGUCUUGACGGUACCUAAUCAGAAAGCCACGGCUAACUACGUGCCAGCAGCCGCGGUAAUACGUAGGUGGCAAGCGUUAUCCGGAAUUAUUGGGCGUAAAGCGCGCGUAGGCGGUUUCUUAAGUCUGAUGUGAAAGCCCACGGCUCAACCGUGGAGGGUCAUUGGAAACUGGGAAACUUGAGUGCAGAAGAGGAAAGUGGAAUUCCAUGUGUAGCGGUGAAAUGCGCAGAGAUAUGGAGGAACACCAGUGGCGAAGGCGACUUUCUGGUCUGUAACUGACGCUGAUGUGCGAAAGCGUGGGGAUCAAACAGGAUUAGAUACCCUGGUAGUCCACGCCGUAAACGAUGAGUGCUAAGUGUUAGGGGGUUUCCGCCCCUUAGUGCUGCAGCUAACGCAUUAAGCACUCCGCCUGGGGAGUAC